GACGAACGCUGGCGGCGUGCUUAACACAUGCAAGUCGAACGGAAAGGCCCUGCUUUGGUGGGGUGCUCGGGUGGCGAACGGGUGAGUAACACGUGAGUAACCUGCCCUUGACGUUGGGAUAACUUCAGGAAACUGGUGCUAAUACCGGGUAGGAGCUCCUGCUGCAUGGUGGGGGUUGGAAAGUUUCGGCGGUUGGGGAUGGACUCGCGGCUUAUCAGCUUGUUGGUGGGGUAGUGGCUUACCAAGGCUUUGACGGGUAGCCGGCCUGAGAGGGUGACCGGACACAUUGGAACUGAGAUAAGGCACAGACUAAUAUGGGAGGCAGGAGUGGGGAAUAUUGCACAAUGGGAGGAAGCCUGAUGCAGCAACGCCGCGUGGGGGAUGAGGGGAAUCGGGUUGUAAAGCGAUUUCGCCUGUGACGAAGCGUGAGUGACGGUACCGGGUAAAGAAGCCCCGGCUAACUACGUG
rnacentral:rRNA from 1 species